CUUUCUUUGCUGGCGACCGGCGCACGGGUGAGUAACACGUAUCCAACCUGCCCUUUACUCGGGGAUAGCCUUUCGAAAGAAAGAUUAAUACCCGAUAGCAUAAUGAUUCCGCAUGGUUUCAUUAUUAAAGGAUUCCGGUAAAGGAUGGGGAUGCGUUCCAUUAGGUUGUUGGUGAGGUAACGGCUCACCAAGCCUUCGGUGGAUAGGGGUUCUGAGAGGAAGGUCCCCCACAUUGGAACUGAGACACGGUCCAA
rnacentral:rRNA from 1 species